rnacentral:rRNA from 1 species
GACGAACGCUGGCGGCGUGCUUAACACAUGCAAGUCGAACGGAAAGGCCCUGCUUUUGUGGGGUGCUCGAGUGGCGAACGGGUGAGUAACACGUGAGUAACCUGCCCUUGACUUUGGGAUAACUUCAGGAAACUGGGGCUAAUACCGGAUAGGAGCUCCUGCUGCAUGGUGGGGGUUGGAAAGUUUCGGCGGUUGGGGAUGGACUCGCGGCUUAUCAGCUUGUUGGUGGGGUAGUGGCUUACCAAGGCUUUGACGGGUAGCCGGCCUGUGAGGGUGACCGGCCACAUUGGGACUGAGAGACGGCCCAGACGCCUACGGGAGGCAGCAGUGGGGAAUAUUGCACAAUGGGCGGAAGCCUGAUGCAGCAACGCCGCGUGCGGGAUGACGGCCUUCGGGUUGUAAACCGCUUUCGCCUGUGACGAAGCGUGAGUGACGGUAAUGGGUAAAGGAGCACCGGCUAACUACGUG